UUUAACGGCCGCGGUAUCCUAACCGUGCAAAGGUAGCGUAAUCACUUGUCUCCUAAAUAGAGACUAGUAUGAACGGCUAAAUGAGGGUAAGCCUGUCUCCUGCAACCUAUCAGUGAAACUGAUCUAUCUGUCCAAAAGCCGAUAUAUCAACAUAAGACGAGAAGACCCUGUGGAGCUUAAGACACACUCAGUAAUUAUACUACUAAUCUAUUGCAUUGUCUUAAGUUGGGGCGACUUCGGAAAAAAAUAAAACUUCCGAGCACAGAACCACCACCUCUUCCUGAGGCCAACGAGCCAAAGUACAAAUAUGACCCAGUCACACUGAUCAACGAACCAAGUUACCCCAGGGAUAACAGCGCUAUCUUCUUCAAGAGUCCAUAUCGACAAGAAGGUUUACGACCUCGAUGUUGGAUCAGGACACCCCAAUGGUGCAGCCGCUAUUAAAGGUUCGUUUGUUCAACGAUUAACAGUC
rnacentral:rRNA from 1 species